UACGUAGGGUGCAAGCGUUGUCCGGAAUUAUUGGGCGUAAAGAGCUCGUAGGCGGUUUGUCGCGUCUGCUGUGAAAACUCGGGGCUUAACUCCGGGCCUGCAGUGGGUACGGGCAGACUAGAGUGCGGUAGGGGAGACUGGAAUUCCUGGUGUAGCGGUGAAAUGCGCAGAUAUCAGGAGGAACACCUGCGGCGAAGGCGGGUUGCUGGGCCGACACUGACGCUGAUGCGCGAAAGCCAGGGGAGCGAACGGG
rnacentral:rRNA from 1 species